rnacentral:rRNA from 1 species
AUGUGGUUUUCCCUUCGGGGACAGGGACACAGGUGCUGCAUGGCUGUCGUCAGCUCGUGUCGUGAGAUGUUGGGUUAAGUCCCGCAACGAGCGCAACCCUCGCCAUUAGUUGCCAUCAUUAAGUUGGGCACUCUAAUGGGACCGCCGGUGGUAAGCCGGAGGAAGGUGGGGAUGACGUCAAGUCCUCAUGGCCCUUACAGGCUGGGCUACACACGUGCUACAAUGGCGGUGACAGUGGGAGGCUAAGGGGCGACCCCGCGCUAAUCUCAAAAAGCCGUCUCAGUUCGGAUUGCACUCUGCAACUCGAGUGCAUGAAGUUGGAAUCGCUAGUAAUCGUGGAUCAGCAUGCCACGGUGAAUACGUUCCCGGGCCUUGUACACACCGCCCGUCACACCAUGGGAGUUGGUUUUACCUUAAGACGGUUUGCUAACCGCAAGGGGGCAGCCGGCCACGGUAAGGUCAGCGACUGGGGUGAAGUCGUAACAAGGUAACCGUAA